CGAGCGAGGUCUUCGGGCCUAGCGGCGGACGGGUUAGUAACGCGUGGGAACGUGCCCUUCACUACGGAAUAGUCCCGGGAAACUGGGUUUAAUACCGUAUACGCCCUUCGGGGGAAAGAAUUUCGGUGAAGGAUCGGCCCGCGUCUGAUUAGGUAGUUGGUGGGGUAAUGGCCUACCAAGCCUACGAUCAGUAGCUGGUUUUAGAGGAUGAUCAGCAACACUGGGACUGAGACACGGCCCAGACUCCUACGGGAGGCAGCAGUGGGGAAUCUUAGACAAUGGGCGCAAGCCUGAUCUAGCCAUGCCGCGUGAGUGAUGAAGGCCUUAGGGUCGUAAAGCUCUUUCGCUGGGGAAGAUAAUGACGGUACCCAGUAAAGAAACCCCGGCUAACUCCGUGCCAGCAGCCGCGGUAAUACGGAGGGGGUUAGCGUUGUUCGGAAUUACUGGGCGUAAAGCGCGCGUAGGCGGACUGUUAAGUCGGGGGUGAAAUCCCGGGGCUCAACCCCGGAACGGCCUUCGAUACUGGCAGUCUGGAGUUCGAGAGAGGUGAGUGGAAUUCCGAGUGUAGAGGUGAAAUUCGUAGAUAUUCGGAGGAACACCAGUGG
rnacentral:rRNA from 1 species